CUUGGCAGUGCGAGCGUUCGGUGUCACGUCUUGACCGCGCGACGUUCAAUUACGUGCGAUGGCUGGGUAUAGCUCAUCCUCACAGACUAUUCAUCACCCACACACCUGAAUAUGUAACUCAUAUUUACUCAUUCACCCCCUGGAAUUCACACGGUGAACUCAACAAAAUAUCCUGUACGUGCAUACCGUAACACGAGUAUACGCCAAACAAGAUGAGACGUCGCAACUCCAGCAUCCAGCAUCUCCGUGAAUCUCUCAUCUUCAGGUGUAUAGUCAGCGCUUGCGGAUUAUACUGACUAGUGUUGGAACAUGUGUUGUAUCGUUGGAGAAGGGGAAGCGGAGUUGCCAACUCUUUGGAUGGUCAUACACAUGUACAAGGUGCUGCUGGAGCCUCGCCGUCUGACCGCUUUUUCUUCGCUCACUUUGUUGGGGGAUGAUCGUGUCG